GCACCGGUUGUGCAUGGUGCACGCGCCACUAUUGUAAAUAGGAAUGGAUGUAUUUAUGGUGAACGGGGUUCGAUUCCCCGCCGGUGCA